CCCGCUGAACUUAAGCAUAUCAAUAAGCGGAGGAAAAGAAACCAACAGGGAUUACCCUAGUAACGGCGAGUGAAGCGGUAAUAGCUCAAAUUUAAAAUCUGGCCUUUAUUUGGCCCGAGUUGUAAUUUGUAGAGGAUAUUUCGGAUAAGGCUGUGGUUUAAGUUUCUUGGAACAGAAUGUCAUAGAGGGUGAGAAUCCCGUCUAGAACCAAUGGCCGCGUCCAUGUGAAAUUCCUUCGACGAGUCGAGUUGUUUGGGAAUGCAGCUCAAAAUGGGUGGUAAAUUUCAUCUAAAGCUAAAUAUUGGCCAGAGACCGAUAGCGCACAAGUAGAGUGAUCGAAAGAUGAAAAGUACUUUGAAAAGAGAGUUAAACAGUAUGUGAAAUUGUUGAAAGGGAAGCGCUUGCAACCAGACUUGUGUGUAGCGGCUCCCCCAGUUGUCUGACUGGGCUAUUCUGCUAUAUCCAGGCCAGCAUCGAUUUAGGUGGCCAGUUAAAGGCUCUGGGAAUGUAUCUACCUUUGGGUCGACUUAUAGCCCAGUGUGUCAUGUGGCCUACUUGGAUUGAGGAACGCGCUUUUGCUCGGAUGUUGGCGUAAUGGUUGCAAGCGGCCCGUCUUGAAACACGG
rnacentral:rRNA from 1 species